CGACUCCUCGUGUUUGGCGAUUGAACCUGGAUUUUUAAUUUUCGAGUACGAGAAAUCUGUUCAUUCCUCGACACUAGUAGUUG
rfam:Drosophila ananassae strain TSC#14024-0371.13 Ctg01_19812, whole genome shotgun sequence.